rnacentral:rRNA from 1 species
UACGGAGGGUGCGAGCGUUGUCCGGAAUCAUUGGGCGUAAAGGGCGCGUAGGUGGCCCAGUCAGCGUGCGGAUGAAGCUCGGGGCUCAACCCCGAGUCGGCCGUGCGAACUACUGGGCUGGAGCACUGUAGAGGCAGGCGGAAUUCCGGGUGUAGCGGUGGAAUGCGUAGAGAUCCGGAAGAACACCGGUGGCGAAGGCGGCCUGCUGGGCAGUGGCUGACGCUGAGGCGCGA